rnacentral:lncRNA from 1 species
GUGAGUUAAACAAGACUACAGAUCCUGCCAGAUCACUCUAAUUGAGACUGUGGUAUGAAAAGCACCAAACACUUAAGGCAAGAAGCUUUUUCAAAUAAUUCUGUUCUGGCUUGAAAUGCAGAACCUGAUCCUGAGCCUGCUAAGUCCUUGGAAAGAACUCUGCUGUCCAUGUUGUCCCCAGCUUGGUUGGUUGUCCAUGCAUGACUAAGUGAUUCAGCAAUGAAAAAGAGAUCAAAUGAUUUUCUUUUGUAGAAAUAGCCAGUUUAGAAGUCCCGUCUGCCU